ACCUGUCUCAGUUCGGAUUGGAGUCUGCAACCCGACUCCAUGAAGCUGGAUUCGCUAGUAAUCGCGGAUCAGAAUGCCGCGGUGAAUACGUUCCCGGGUCUUGUACACACCGCCCGUCACACCAUGGGAGCCGGGAAUGCCCGAAGUCAGUGGCCUAACCGCAAGGGGGGAGCUGCCGAAGGCAGGCCCGGUGACUGGGGUGAAGUCGUAACAAGGUACC
rnacentral:rRNA from 1 species